GUUCUUAGCCAACACCGCCCGUCUGUAUAACCUGCAAUCUCUUUUCACAGCUGGUUUCAGGCACUGGUGGGUUUGUUUCUUGGCUUGGGUCACUAGCCGGCUUUGACAGAAAGUCGAGUCAUCCUGGGCAUCAGGAAACUCAUGGUCGGGGCUACACUGUCUUCAAGACCCGUGGGUGUCUGACCACGAGGCUGGUCUCCAUUGCACUGAGAGAGCACCCUGUGUGUGUGUGGCUCUGGUCUGUGCACAGCCGCUAAAUUAAGCCCCCUUGGUGGGAGUGGGGACUGGAAAUCUGGGUUUAUGGGCUGAAAACAGGGUGACACCGUGGUCUGUUAGAUGGAGUAGAUGACGGGAGAAUUUAGUUUGUGAUUCUUCUUUGUUGUGUAUCUAUUUGGAGUCAAAUGAAUUAAAAACAUAAUCAUGCCCGCUGUGGAAGAGAAAAGCUCUGUGAGAUCUGGAUGGAACUUAUACGAAUAUUCAAUUAAUAUACUCUGUCAACAUGAGACUGUAUGAAGAAUAAUAACGGCAAAUAAAUACAACUCUAUAUGCAAGCUUGGAAGAGAAGAGCCACUGAACAAAAAAGAAAAAAAGAAAAAAAUCUCAAAACAAAACGAAGGAAAAACUCUGAAAUAAUAGAGGCUACGGAAGUUACUGAAAAAGCAACCAAAUUGCCUGUGAAGUUUGCAGACAUAAGUUAAUUCUGCGAGUGUCACUCUACGACUCUAUAUUCGCUGACCAUCCUCAAGGAGGCUGAUGUGUGUAAUUGACACCUCUUCCUCUUGCUGUGCUUGUAUAAAUUAAUCAAGACAGAAACACAGGGGGAACAGCCUUUUUUUCGUAUGUGUGAUCAAACAUUAUUCUUGGAGAUUAUUUGUGAUCACCAGCUCUAUCCAAAACUUGGGAAUGAGGAAAAAGAAGGCCUCAUGUCCUUCCAUAGGAGCAUGUCUAGCAAGCCCACCCAAGGAUUAUUUAAUUGUUGAUGGGCUUCCCCUGUGUUUGGGUCAUUGAUUGAUGCCUAAACUCUCUGAAGUUAUGUGUUACUUUAUAGAUUUUUGAUAACGAUAGAAAUUAUUUCUAUGCUGUAGAAAAGACAACUCCACAUGUUAUGAUUAAUUGUCCUGUGGGGCAUGAACCACUUUUGAACCUAACUUGGCAAUCUUAUACAAAAAUUCUGUGCCUCAGUUCUAUAUAAAAACUCAAUUUCUCAAAUAUUCUUUGAACUGGCUUUUACUAUUCUACUGUUCCCUCAUUAAUGAGUUAAAUAAAGCUUUGACAUGUGUUUAUUCUAAACUUCUAA